UAGGGAAUCUUCCGCAAUGGGCGAAAGCCUGACGGAGCAACGCCGCGUGAGUGAUGAAGGUCUUCGGAUCGUAAAACUCUGUUAUUAGGGAAGAACAAAUGUGUAAGUAACUGUGCACGUCUUGACGGUACCUAAUCAGAAAGCCACGGCUAACUACGUGCCAGCAGCCGCGGUAAUACGUAGGUGGCAAGCGUUAUCCGGAAUUAUUGGGCGUAAAGCGCGCGUAGGCGGUUUUUUAAGUCUGAUGUGAAAGCCCACGGCUCAACCGUGGAGGGUCAUUGGAAACUGGAAAACUUGAGUGCAGAAGAGGAAAGUGGAAUUCCAUGUGUAGCGGUGAAAUGCGCAGAGAUAUGGAGGAACACCAGUGGCGAAGGCGACUUUCUGGUCUGUAACUGACGCUGAUGUGCGAAAGCGUGGGGAUCAAACAGG
rnacentral:rRNA from 1 species